rnacentral:misc_RNA from 1 species
CGCACAUUGCGCCCUCUGGUAUUCCGGGGGGCAUGUCUGUUCGAGCGUCGCAAAUAUAAGAUCAAGCUCUUUUGCUUGGAAUUGGGUGACACUUUGUCUGGUGCUCCCGCAAACGAAUGGCGGUCCACUUUGUGCCCUAACGCGUUGAAUCCUUCGUUAGCAAAGGCAUAUCAUUGGAUCAGUCUGACCUGACACGCCUGUGUCCGUAGAAUCGACCUCGGAUCAGAUAGGAAUACCCGCUGAACUUAA